rnacentral:rRNA from 1 species
AUAACCGGCGAUGUCCGAAUGGGGAAACCCAGUGCAAUUCGUUGCACUAUCGUUAACUGAAUACAUAGGUUAACGAGGCGAACCGGGGGAACUGAAACAUCUAAGUACCCCGAGGAAAAGAAAUCAACCGAGAUUCCCCCAGUAGCGGCGAGCGAACGGGGAGCAGCCCAGAGUCUGAAUCAGCUUGUGUGUUAGUGGAACGGUCUGGAAAGUCCGACGGUACAGGGUGAUAGUCCCGUACACCAAAAUGCACAGGUUGUGAACUCGAAGAGUAGGGCGGGACACGUGGUAUCCUGUCUGAAUAUGGGGGGACCAUCCUCCAAGGCUAAAUACUCCUGACUGACCGAUAGUGAACCAGUACCGUGAGGGAAAGGCGAAAAGAACCCCGGCGAGGGGAGUGAAAAAGAACCUGAAACCGUGUACGUACAAGCAGUGGGAGCACCUUCGGGUGUGACUGCGUACCUUUUGUAUAAUGGGUCAGCGACUUAUAUUCUGUAGCAAGGUUAACCGUAUAGGGGAGCCGCAGGGAAACCGAGUCUUAACUGGGCGUUAAGUUGCAGGGUAUAGACCCGAAACCCGGUGAUCUAGCCAUGGGCAGGUUGAAGGUUGGGUAACACUAACUGGAGGACCGAACCGACUAAUGUUGAAAAAUUAGCGGAUGACUUGUGGCUGGGGGUGAAAGGCCAAUCAAACCGGGAGAUAGCUGGUUCUCCCCGAAAGCUAUUUAGGUAGCGCCUCGUGAACUCAUCUUCGGGGGUAGAGCACUGUUUCGGCUAGGGGGUCAUCCCGACUUACCAACCCGAUGCAAACUACGAAUACCGAAGAAUGUUAUCACGGGAGACACACGGCGGGUGCUAACGUCCGUCGUGAAGAGGGAAACAACCCAGACCGCCAGCUAAGGUCCCAAAGUCAUGGUUAAGUGGGAAACGAUGUGGGAAGGCACAGACAGCCAGGAUGUUGGCUUAGAAGCAGCCAUCAUUUAAAGAAAGCGUAAUAGCUCACUGGUCGAGUCGGCCUGCGCGGAAGAUGUAACGGGGCUAAACCAUGCACCGAAGCUGCGGCAGCGACACUAUGUGUUGUUGGGUAGGGGAGCGUUCUGUAAGCCUGCGAAGGUGUGCUGUGAGGCAUGCUGGAGGUAUCAGAAGUGCGAAUGCUGACAUAAGUAACGAUAAAGCGGGUGAAAAGCCCGCUCGCCGGAAGACCAAGGGUUCCUGUCCAACGUUAAUCGGGGCAGGGUGAGUCGACCCCUAAGGCGAGGCCGAAAGGCGUAGUCGAUGGGAAACAGGUUAAUAUUCCUGUACUUGGUGUUACUGCGAAGGGGGGACGGAGAAGGCUAUGUUAGCCGGGCGACGGUUGUCCCGGUUUAAGCAUGUAGGCUGAUUGUCCAGGCAAAUCCGGAUAAUCAAGGCUGAGGUGUGAUGACGAGGCACUACGGUGCUGAAGUAACAAAUGCCCUGCUUCCAGGAAAAGCCUCUAAGCAUCAGGUAACAUCAAAUCGUACCCCAAACCGACACAGGUGGUCAGGUAGAGAAUACCAAGGCGCUUGAGAGAACUCGGGUGAAGGAACUAGGCAAAAUGGUGCCGUAACUUCGGGAGAAGGCACGCUGGUGUGUAGGUGAAGUCCCUGCGGAUGGAGCUGAGACCAGUCGAAGAUACCAGCUGGCUGCAACUGUUUAUUAAAAACACAGCACUGUGCAAACACGAAAGUGGACGUAUACGGUGUGACGCCUGCCCGGUGCCGGAAGGUUAAUUGAUGGGGUUAUCCGUAAGGAGAAGCUCUUGAUCGAAGCCCCGGUAAACGGCGGCCGUAACUAUAACGGUCCUAAGGUAGCGAAAUUCCUUGUCGGGUAAGUUCCGACCUGCACGAAUGGCGUAAUGAUGGCCAGGCUGUCUCCACCCGAGACUCAGUGAAAUUGAACUCGCUGUGAAGAUGCAGUGUACCCGCGGCAAGACGGAAAGACCCCGUGAACCUUUACUAUAGCUUGACACUGAACAUUGAGCCUUGAUGUGUAGGAUAGGUGGGAGGCUUUGAAGCGUGGACGCCAGUCUGCGUGGAGCCAACCUUGAAAUACCACCCUUUAAUGUUUGAUGUUCUAACGUUGGCCCCUGACCGGGGUUGCGGACAGUGUCUGGUGGGUAGUUUGACUGGGGCGGUCUCCUCCCAAAGCGUAACGGAGGAGCACGAAGGUUAGCUAAUCCUGGUCGGACAUCAGGAGGUUAGUGCAAUGGCAUAAGCUAGCUUGACUGCGAGCGUGACGGCGCGAGCAGGUGCGAAAGCAGGUCAUAGUGAUCCGGUGGUUCUGAAUGGAAGGGCCAUCGCUCAACGGAUAAAAGGUACUCCGGGGAUAACAGGCUGAUACCGCCCAAGAGUUCAUAUCGACGGCGGUGUUUGGCACCUCGAUGUCGGCUCAUCACAUCCUGGGGCUGAAGUAGGUCCCAAGGGUAUGGCUGUUCGCCAUUUAAAGUGGUACGCGAGCUGGGUUUAGAACGUCGUGAGACAGUUCGGUCCCUAUCUGCCGUGGGCGCUGGAGAAUUGAGGGGGGCUGCUCCUAGUACGAGAGGACCGGAGUGGACGCAUCACUGGUGUUCGGGUUGUCAUGCCAAUGGCACUGCCCGGUAGCUAAAUGCGGAAGAGAUAAGUGCUGAAAGCAUCUAAGCACGAAACUUGCCCCGAGAUGAGUUCUCCCUGAGACUUUAAGUCUCCUGAAGGAACGUUAAAGACGAUGACGUUGAUAGGCCGGGUGUGUAAGCGCAGCGAUGCGUUGAGCUAACCGGUACUAAUGAACCGUGAGGCUUAACCUU